CAAAUAGCUCAAUUUUGUUUCUUUUUAUGGCUGAGUAAUAUUCCAUUGUAUAUAUGUGCCACAUCUUCUUUAUCCAUUCAUCCGAUGAUGGGCCCUUAGGUUGUUUCCAUCUCCGGGCUAUUGUAAAUAGAGCUGCAAUGAACAUUUUGGUACAUGACUCUUUUCGAAUUAUGGUUUUCUCAGGGUAUAUGCCCAGUAGUGGGAUUGCUGGGAAGCACAGAGUCUUAACCACUGGGCCGCCAGGGCACUCCCUAGAUCACUAUUUUCAACAUCAAAAAUCGUCCAACCACGGCUUACGAGUAUACUUUGGGGAGUUUUUCUGUACUAAAAAUAAAAGUUUUAAAGUAACCACUUAACAAAAAGUUUUUUGGUGCAUAGAAAGUGGCGUAGAUUGGGAGCUUUUAUCUUGUGUUUACACCGAUCACGAUUUCAGCACAGCAUUAGUUUUGAAGUAUUCUCAGAGAGUCUUUGCUGGAUAUUACUCUUUUUUUCUUUCUUUAUUUCGCCAUUAAUUCUCCAUGUAGCUUCCCCCAGUCUCUCAUUGUGCUCCUUAAACAGAUGUAUCAUUCUCCUGAUGUCUUUGUGAAAUUAUGUCAAUGUUUACAAUUUUUGACACUCUGUUUUUGUUGUCACUUUAACCAAAUUUUCUUCUGGUACAUUUCAAAUUAUCGUAUUAAGUAUUAAAAUUAUUAAAGAAUUGCAAAAUAGUUUCCAUUAUAAAACCCUAUUUUCAUUAUUUAAAAUUGUAUAACAACCCUCCUUUUGGACAGAUAUUUUCCAGUAAAUGGCUGCCCCACAAAAAAAAACCACCUUGAGAUGAAUAUCAAUAUGGACCUUCAUUGUCUGCGGCUGUUCUUUUUCAUCAGUUUUUAGUCUUAUGCUAUUACCUGUCUCUUCUAAAUGUAAAAGAUGGAAAAAUAGUAAAGGAAGAUCCUGCUUGUUAAGUUCUUACAGAAGUCUAGGUUGAUAUUCUUAUAUGGAGCAAUUCACAGAGGAGUUUUUAAAAGAUUUUUAUUCACAGAGGAGUUUUUAAAAGAAAUAUAGUUGAUUUACAGUAUUGUGUAGUUUCCGGUAUACAGCAAAGUGAUUCAUAUAUAUAUAUAUAUAUAUAUAUAUAUAUAUAUAUACACACACACACACACACACAUACAUAUAUACACACACAUAUACAUAUAUAUAUAUAUGUUCUUUUUUAGAUUCUUUUCCAUUGUAGGUUACUACAAGAUACUGAGUAUAGUUUCCUGUGCUAUACAGUAGGUCCUUGUUGGUUAUCUUUUAAUUUUUAUUUUAUACUGGAGUAUAGUUGAUUAAUAAUGUUGUGUUAGUUUCAGGUGUACAGCAAAGUGAUUCAGUUAUACAUAUACAUGUAUCCAUUCUUUUUCAAAUUCUUUUUCCAUUUAGGUUAUUACAGAGUAUUGAGUAGAGUUCCCUGUGCUGUACAGUAGGUCCUUGUUGGUUAUCUGUUUUAUAUAUAGUAGUGUGUAUAUUUUAAUCACAAACUCCUAAUUUAUCCCACCCCUCCCUUUCCCCUUUGGUAACCAUAAGUUUGUAUUCUAUGUCUGUGAGUCAAUUUCUGUUUUGUAAAUAAGUUCAUUUGUAUCAUUUUUUAAGAUUCCAUGUAUAAGUGAUAUCAUAUGAUAUUUGUCUUUGUCUGACUUACCUCACUUAGUAUGAUAAUCUCUAGGUCCAUCUUUGUUGCUGCAAACGGCAUUAUUUCAUUCUUUUUUAUGGCUGAGUAAUAUUCCAUUGUAUAUAUGUACCACAUCUUCUUUAUCCACUCCUCUGUUGAUGGACAUUUAGGUUGUUUCCAUAUCCUGGCUAUUGUAAAUAGUGCUGCUAUGAACGUUGGGGUGCAUUUAUCUCUUCGAAUUAGAGUUUUCUCCAGAUAUAUGCCCAGGAGUGGGAUUGCUGGAUCAUAUGGUAACACUAUUUUUAGUUUUUUUAAGGAACCUCCAUACUGUUCUCCAUAGUGGCUGCACCAAUUUACAUUCUCACCAGCAGUGUAGGAGGAUUCUUUUUUUCUCCACACCCUCUCCAGCAUUUAUUAUUUGUAGACUUUUUGAUGAUAGCCAUUCUGACCAGUGUGAGGUUAUACCUCAUUGUAGUUUUGAUUUGCAUUUCUCCACAGAGGAGUUCUAAAACUAAGCUUCUCACAGAAACUUCCAGCCCCUUUCAGUGUGGGUGCUUCCUUCCUAUGCCCCUUCAUGGGUUGCUUGCAUCUGUGCCAGCAUGUGCCUUUGAUCAGCCCACACCUUCAGACUAAAGCAUGCUUGUCAGAGUCAUAAAUCACGCACCUCUGUUAAUAGUUUAGGCAGAUUUGGGUUUGUGCUAGAGUGCUCAAGAAUGCCUAGAACCUUACUUCUUGGAUUAAAAGAUUAAUUGGGGGAAAAAAAUUUGUACCGGUCAGUUAACCCUAUCUCAGUUCAGAGCCUAAGACGUGAAUGAGCUCACAAAUCAGUGUUCCCUUUAAAGUCAUGUUUACUGACUCACCACAGAAAUCUGAGGGCAUGUGUGUAUACCCCAACUAUGCCUUUUUUGGUACUGUCUUAAGGAUUUACAAGAAGGUGUAUUUGGGUACAGCCAUUCUGGGUAAUAAACAGUCAGAAGGCAUGAACAUGCAUGUAGAUGUUGCCAGUAGGAGCUACAUGACCUUGGGCAAGUGAUCUGAGCUCACCGAGCCUCAUUUCUCAAAGGUAAGGAUGAGAAUGCCUUCCCUAUAUCCUCCAGAGAAUUUCCGGAAACUCAAAUGAGUUAGUACACGUGAAAAGACUUGUAAACUGCACAGUGUAGGUUGAAUGUAACUUAAAAAUAUUAUUAUUCAGAGCCUGCGUAAUAAACAGGAAAAUGGGAGGUACGUUCUCAGAAGAUCGUCAGUACCUUCUGUGGGACCCGGUUCUGGAUUUUUGACUGACUUAAUCCAUGGAACAAGGGGAUCUUUGAGAGCACAGCAUCUAAAGCGUUAUUAGGCUGAUUAGACCAUUGCCAGCAGGACGUUUGUUCACCUUACAAACAAGUUCUUUAUCUUCUCCCUUGCCUAUGAAAGUUAUAGAAACGCCUACAUAAUAGGAUUCUUCAUGGAGCUCAUUAACUUGAACUUGUCUGAACUCAUCAUUCACAAGCGGACCAGCCACUGUCCAGAACAAACAGGGUUAGAUAAGAGUUCUUACAGAAAGCAUCCUGUGCUGUGAAUCAAACACAGAUUAUAUUAAGCUUCCUGACACUACUUAAUUUUUCAGGCAAGUUUUCUUUCUUUUUUUUCCCCCCUUAUCCUGACCUUGUAUGAAUUUUCCAACGAUUCCUGGAAUAAGUAGGCUACAUUUAUCUAUCUUUGUAUUCUCACAAUUUCCAGUGAUUCCAACAGAAAUUUCAUGCAGCUAGGAUGACAGUAAUUUAUGGUUUUUUUAAAAAAAUUAUUAUGAUUACUCAGAAGCCUAUUUUUAGUAUUCAGGUGAAAUGGGUUUAUAGUACUCCAUUAGCGUAGAUAUGAAUACAUGAGUGUUAAUAUCUCUGCCUUGCUUUCCCACAAUUUGUUCCAUUAUAUAAGCUGAAUUAUGUUGUAGGUGAUUAUGAUCUUUCCUCUCCCUGCUAUCAUCCUUUUGGAGCUCCUUUACCAUUGAUUUUGCAACAGAUGAGACAGAUCCAGGGAGGUGAAAUGUUCAGCCCAGCACAGCACAACUUGUUUUUGCCAAAGCUGGGGCUAAAGACCAAAACUGACCCCUGGACCAGUGUCCUAAGAUGCCAUAGCUUCUUGGGAAACCAGCGUAAAACCUCUGCUCUUCAAAAUCCUUAGAUAGCCAGGUUUUCUGUAGAAAAAGGAUAUAAUGUUCUGAUCAUUAGAAGUUUAAUGUUUAACUGUUUGGGGAUCAGUGUCUAAAAUGGACAGUCCAACCCUGCCUUAAUCUUAAAUAGGGCUGAAAGGAUUUUUCCUGAGAAUUUCCUUUCUUGGUAAUCCUUGAUAAUGCCUUUCCUAGGUGAUUCCACCUCAUCAAUCACUCCGAGCCUCAGUCACUGUGUUUUGCUGUACGUGGAGGUGGUGUGGUGUAUAAGCGUGUUCCUUUGUCCGCCUGUCAGUGCAGGAUGCCCACGUGGGGUAGCAUCUUCCCUGGAGUGGCCAAAUGUCUCGUGAAGUGUCAGCAGCAUUAAGAGAAUUAAGCUUUUUCCAUUAGUAGGUCAUGGGACCACAGGCAUCUCCUUGACGGCUUGAUCUUGUCAACAUAGUUGGCCACCAGGUAUGAUGGAUCAUUCUUCACCAUUUUAAGAAUUUGUGUUCGGCCGGGUACAGUUUCAUUGUCACUUUGCUUCAGAUUCUGAUUCCAAGUCAAACAUCCAGGAGGAUUCGGCAUGACCUGUAGCCUAAUUCAGUUAGCCUAAUUCGCAGACAGUUCCUCGGCUGUGAAAAAGCAAUAGCGCCUCUCUCACAGAGAAGUUUAAGGAGGAAGAGAGAGAACAGAUGCCACGUACCCGCCCCCGAACCUGGUAGGUGCCAAUUUGAGAGCUACUGCUUCCCCUCCUCUUCAUCGUUACCAUUGUUGGCUGCCGAGGCUAUUAACGUCAUCUUCUCCUGUGAAAAAUGGACACCACCUUUCUCAUCUUCUAAGUGGGUUCAAUAUGAAAGUUGUUGUAAUGUUUCUUCUUUUAAAAAAUUAUCUGGAAAUUUAAAAACCCGCCACCUGAUAUGUGCUAAUAUGCAUCUGAAUAUGUCACUCAGUUCAGCGUCUUCCCCAGGCUUGGAACAAAGUAGAUCGUGAUGGUUAACACUACAUGCUGGGCUUUCCAAGUGUUGGCUUGGGUUUUAUUUCCGGCCCUCCUCUUGAGUCUUUCUCUGACUUGGGCGAUCAUGUGAUCUGCAUCAGUCUUUUCAUAGAUGAAAUAGAAACAGACAGUUGCCACCUCCACACCUCACUGGAUUGUCGUGGGAGUUAUGAGUUAGUGCCUCUGCAAUGGGUGGCUGGAGUGAGCCAUGCGGGCAUGAGGCGUCCCCGUGGCGUAUCCGGUCGAGUGGACGUUACCCUUACCCAUGGCUCCAGUGUGGUCCUCACAGCUUUAAAGAACCAUAAAGCAUCCAGUGUUUCAUCAACCGUGUAGUUAGAGCACCCUUUUCAGCAUGGUCCUUAGACCUUAGUCAUGUGACUGACCUGACCCGGGUCUGUUACACAGUAAGAAACAAAAACUUCGAUACUACUGGGUCCUCAUCUGAAAGGUGGACUGAGAUGUUUCUUUGUACCUAUUUUCCAGCAUCUUGAGAGUUGUUCUAAAUAUUUUCCCUGUUGUCUGUAGGACAAUACUUGCAAAAAAAUAAGCCAUGUCCAAGAGAGUUCUGUUGUAUACUUUGUGUCAGGGUAUGACAGUUUUCAUCAGAGACCUCGCUCUCUUGAAAAAUUGCUAAAACUUAAAAAUUACAUACUUUCAGCUUUUGUGAAUUAUACAUUUUAUUAGGAAAGCCAUCUUAUACCAUGUCUGUUUAACAUUAGUACAGGUAGUGCUGACCUUAUCUUAAAUCCCCUAUCAAUUCUUCACUACUUUUUAAAAAUAACUUUGUUUACGGAGGUUUUCAAACACUUACAAAAGUAGAGUGAAUAGUCUAAUGAACUCAACAUGGACUCAACUCAUCACCCAGUCUCAGCAUUGAUCACCACAUGGAAUUUCCCCUUCCCAUCCUCACACCAUGGGGUAAUUUUAACGAUACCCCCCAGACAUCAUAUCAUUUCAAAGGUAUGCAUCUCUAACAGAUAAGGACUCUUUUCUUUAAAAAAAGACAUAAAAGUACUUUCUUAAUAUCAAAUACCGAUUCCAUGUUCCAAUUUCCCAAAUUGACUCAUGAAUCUAUUUUUGUCCUUAGCAUGUUUGGGUCAGAGUUCAAAUAAGAUGCACCGAUUGCCCUUGGUUGAUAUAUCUCUUCUGUCUGUUAAUGUCUGGGUUCCCCAUCCAUAGUCAUUUGUAUUUGAAGACUGGGUCAUUUGUCUGGUAGAAAGUCCCUUUUUAGACAUUUCCUGGCAAUUGCACCCUGUUAGCACAUUCCUUUAUCCCUCUAUUUAUUGUAAACCCAUAGGUCUGGGAAAGUGGUCAAAUCAGUGUUUUGUUAGUUUUGUUUUUGUUUACGUGAGAUGUCCUGUUACUGCCGUCCAUCGAGAGGUGCAUAAUGUCUGGUUGUCUCCCCUUUUGUGUGUCAGAUCAGUCCAUCUCCGAGUUGAACUGUGGUCAAUCUGAUCCAGCUGAUAAAAUUCCCUGUCUGCUUUUCACCUGAUGGUUUUAGUUGCCAUUCUUGACCCUGGCCUCCGGAAUCAUCAUUUCAUUAGGGGUUCAGCACCCAAUGAGUAACUCAUUUUGAAAGAUUUUCCAAAAAUGUUCCUUAGUGGGUAUUAGAAAUGCUGAGUGAUUCUGAUAAGAUAAUGAUUGCAUGAUUCAAAAUGCUUUCACAUUUUUAUUAUAUUGAAACACAUACUUUUCAGGAUGUUAACUAGAAAAAUAAAAGUAAUUCUAAGUCUCAAAGAUAGAAGAUGAGUAUGAGAAAUAAUUAGUAAAGAGUUGGCUUGUUUACUCUUUUCCCAGAAACUCUGACUAAAGAGUCGAAAUGUGUAUUGCUUCUAAGGGAUUUUGUUUUUUUAGAGAACAAAAGUAAUUUUAAAGCAUUUAUCUUCCUUAAAACACGGGCAAAUCAAGGCAAUUUAGAGUACUCAAUGUUAAAAGAAUAAAAACUAAAAUAAAGUAUUCCAUGCUCCUUUUGGUAAUAAUGUAAAAAAUUUGGGGAUUAACUAGUGAAAUGUUCUUUUAAAUAAAGCUUGAUGAUGAUCCCAUCUUAUAAAACAGAAGGCUCUAUACGGCUUCUAAUCCCUUUUGCAUCCUCAUCGUACUUUAUCCCGACUUCAGACCCCUUUGUGGUCUGAAAAUAUUUUUUUGGGGGGGUGUGGUUUGCGGUAUGCGGACCUCUCACUGUUGUGGCCUCUCCCGUUGCGGAGCACAGGCUCCGGACGCACAGGCUCAGCGGCCAUGGCUCACGGGCCCAGCCGCUCCGCGGCAUGUGGGAUCUUCCCGGACCGGGGCAUGAACCCGUGUCCCCUGCAUCGGCAGGCGGACUCUCAACCACUGCGCCACCAGGGAAGCCCUGAAAAUAUUUUUGCUUUAUAGCCUAUUUGUUUCAUUAAAAGUAGAUCUGCUUCUGAAUUGAGUUCAGUAAUUUUGAUUGCGAGCCCAGUACUGUGUUAUAGCCUCAUCUGCUGGAGUGUGUGAUGUCCUCGUGAAACCCAGAAACAUGGGUCCAUCUGAUGAAUUUCUGACAAAAGUUUAUUUGGGACUUAGAGUUAAGAUUUUAAAAUUGUACCUAGGUUUCUGGAUUUUAUAUAUCAUUCCACGUUUUAUGUGGAAUAACCUUCAUCAGAAUCAUUUCAGGAAAUGAGAAAAGUAGGAUAUGGUUAUGAGUCAGCCUUGGAAAACUACAGCAUGGAAUGAAUUAGUCAGAAGAAAGGUUUCGGUGGCCAGCAUGAGCUGUGCGCUAUCAGGAAGUGGUGUGACUUUCCAUGAUUUUAUGUACUGCAAAUCAUGUGGCAGAACGCUCCAGACACCUGGAGUCUUUUUUUUUUUUUUUCAAUCAUAAGUUUUGAGGUAAAAUUGAAAAGUACCAUGGAGUGAAAGCACAGCCCUUUCAGUACUUGUGGAUCCCUGCUGUCAACUCGAAUGCAUUUCCACUCCACUCCCACUCCAUGGGGGAUACGGACAUUCACCCGAAAGCCCAUUGAGGCUGCUAGGUCAAGUCGGAAAAGCAGCUGGUCUUGACAGAGGUGCUGCUGCAAAGGGGUGGCAUCUGUCCUUUUGUUUCUAAUACCUUUUUUCAUACUCCUGGUGUUGCUGCUUAUAAGGCAAUGUCAUUUACAGUCUGCAAGACAGUUGCUUCUCCCUGUGUUGUGCUGUGUUUUAUUUAUUUAUUUAUUUAUUUAUUUAAUUUUAUUUUAUCUUUUGCGGUACGCGGGGGCCUCUCACUGUUGUGGCCUCUCCCGUUGUGGAGCACAGGCUCCGGACGCGCAGGCUCAGCAGCCAUGGCUCACGGGCCCAGCCGCUCCGUGGCAUGUGGGAUCUUCCCGGACCGGGGCACGAACCUGCGUCCCCUGCAUCGGCAGGCGGACUCUCAACCACUGCGCCACCAGGGAAGCCCGUGUGUUUUAGAAGGGUGCUCUGAAGUUGAGAAGGAGGCAGUGUGAUCUGGCCUUCUAUCAUCCUGUUAAAGAGAAAAGAGAACCUUGGGGAAAUGGAGUGGAUUAAAAGUUUGGAUCAUAUAAGUUUCAUAAAGCUACAUUGCUAGGGGAAAAUGUUGAAAAUAUAAUCAACCACUAAAACUAAACAUGGAGGGAAAUAAGUUUGUUGUUUUAUUGGCAAUAGAAGUCAGUUAAAGAUAAUCAAGUAAUCAAGCCACCUCUUCCCUGUCUGUUAGACUUCAUAGGUACACAUAGCAUUCACUAAUUACAGCUUGGGAGAUAGAUGUAUAUAGAGAUAUAUACAUAUAGAUAUAGAGAGAGAUAGAGAUAUAUGUAUAGAAAUAUAGCAUGUAUAUUUUAACCAGCAUAUCUAAUGGAACAAUUCAAUGAAGAAUGAAGCCUGCAUGUGAAUUCCCAACUUUCCAUUGAACAACAGUGAAAGUCCAGUUGACUCUGAUGCCCUUGGCAACCUGGUAAACAUCCCUCUGGAAGAAUCCUGCCAACCAGAUUUGCCUUGUUUGCCAUGUGUGGCCAUCUGGCAAGGUGUAGAGAAUCAUCUGUCCCCAAGUUAACCCAGGAUGGUUUCAUGUCCUUGUCACAUGGUAUCACUGAGCAAUCAGAUGGUAACAGUGGGCGUGUUCUUCCUCCCCUUCCAGCCUAGACCUCACUGUAUGCCACAGAUGAAUGCUGGUCUCCCCUGAAAUUCACACAUUAAAAUCCUAACCCCCAGUGUGAUAAUAUUAGGAGAUGGGGCCUUUGGGAGGUGAUUAGGUCAGACAGCAGAGCCCUCACGAAUGGGAUUAGUGCCCUUAUAAAAGAGACCCCAGAGAGCUCCCUGCCCCUUCUGCCAUGUGAAGACACCAUGAGAAGUUAGCCCUCUAUGAACCAAGAAUUGGGCCGUCACCAGACACCAAACCUGCUGGCACCUUGAUCUUGGACUUCCCAGCCCCCAGAACCGACAGAAAUAAACAACUGUUGUUUAUAAGCUGCCCAGUCUUAGUCUGUUUUAGCACCCGAACAGACUGAUAGCAUGUGUGGGCAUCACCUGGGAAUCGUGUGAAAAUGCAGACUCUGCUUCAGUGGAUCUCAGGUGGGGCCCGAUGUUCUGCAUUUCUUACAAGUUCACAGGUGAGGCCAGGACUACUGGCUCAGGGCUGCCCUGUGAGUAUCUAGACCAUCCAGGCCAGAGCUGCAUAAACAAACUGUAUCUGCAGAGUUAGCAAAAAUCCCAACCCUAAAGGGUGUCACCACCUGAUGCUAAUACCUGCAGAGCUCUGUAUGUCCACAACCUCGAGUCUCUAUACAUGACAUUCAUACCUCUCCCCAGCAGGAUUGGGAAACACCCCAGGGUGGAGGGACCCUCAUAGGCACCUGGCAGGACUCCCCUGCUGGCCUCUUCACCUAACAUCUCUUACUAUAUACUUCAUGCUCUGAGCACAUGCACAGUUGUCUGCCCCGGACUCUGCCUUGUAAAGAUCUGAUCAUUCCUUCCUUUUCUCCACUGACUGGACUGUUUCUUAGUAUGAAGAAAAUUUCUAGAACUGUUGGUCAUCUAAGUCUUCUCAUGGGACCCACGAGCCCUACUCUUAAUCUUAAUUCUAAGAUUUUUAUCACCGCCCACUUGUCCUCAGCCUCCAAUGUGCUGGGCUCAGAAGGACAAGAAAGGAUUUCAACUUCGGUGGCCAAUGGAGAAAUGCUAGAAGUUCUACAAGUGAAGAUUUGAGAGGUUUAAGAAUUCCUUAAGGCUGAUUUAAUGAAAGAAAGAGGAAAGAAUGGUCUUCAGGGAGGAUCCCAGCCUAGGCACUUCCAGCAAUUGCUGUAUUUCAGAACUACCCAUUGUCGGAACGUGGGUUUUGGACUCGCCGAAAAGUCGUUAAGCCGAGUGUCAGCUGCUUUCUGCCGCCUCCUUUUCCCUUGACUGCUCCUAUGGAAAUAGGUUAAAUCUUUAAUUGGUUAUUUUAUUUUAUUACCAUGGAAUUUUCAAAUAAACCAGCAAAUCAACAUCAUUAUUUUAAGAUCCUAGGAAAUAUGAUUCAGGGCUUGUCAUUAUUUUUUCCAAGGAAGAAACAAUUAUAGAUAUUUUCUGCAAGGGUAAAUUUCUGUGACUUUUCCAGUUAGAAGCCAGCCAGCAACCUUUCACACAGCCCAUUUGAAAAGAAACAGUGUUCGGAAUGUAGGAUGCACUCUUGGCAUGCGUGCAUCCUCGUGGAUGGCUUCCUUGGUGUAAUGGGUGCCUUUGAACGCCUUUCUGCUAUUUUCCUUGGGUCUUUGUUUAGUUAAAAAAAAAAAAAAAAGCUCCAUUCCAAAUUAUUGCCAAAAAUGUGGCGUUUGCAAAGGCGAGUUUAAUCAUUGUCAUAGAGUUGCCUGUCUUACUUUAUUAACAUCAGAGAGUUCUGUGGUUUUGCAUACAUGAAUGACUGACUUACAGCUUGGUACUGGAUGGUGGCAGAAUGUGAAUUCCAUCAGAUACAUGGCAAAUCUCUGCGCGCGCCACUAAUUGUGUCUGGGGGUAGCUGGGUGCGCGUUCCAGUGCUGACAUCUCUGUCUAAUCGUUUUCUUCCAGACACUUUUCCUUGAAAACAUUCAGGCAAACCGUAGAUAUGAAUUUGUGCUUCUGCAGAGACCUCAUAUGAGGAUUUUUAGUAAGAGUGGUAGUUCAACAUGGGCAUCGUUUAUAUGGUUAUAUACUCUUAAGCUGGAGGUCGUAUUAGUUUGCUAGGCUAUAGCUGCUGUAACAAAAUACCACAAACCGCGUGGCUUGUCCAACAGAAAUUCAUUUUCUUACAGCUCUGGAGGCUGGAAGUCCAAGAUCAAGGUGUCAGCAGGGUUGAUUUCUUCCGAGGCCUCUCUCCUUGGCUUACUGGUGGCUGCUUUCUCACUUUGUUCUCACGUGGUCCUUCCUCUGUCUUGUGCACCCUGGUGUCCUGCUGUGUGUCCACAUUUCCUCUUCUUAUAAGGACACAGUCUUAUAGGAUGGGAGCCCACCCUAACAGCCUUAUUUAACCUUCAUCACCUCUUUGAAGGCCCCAUCUCCAAAAACAGUCACAUUCUGAGGUUCUAGGGGGUUUAGGGCUUCAACAUAGGAAUUUGGGAGGGGACGCAGUUCAGCCUAUAACUAAGGUCAUAGAAACCACUUUGAAAUUGCAAAAUUAUUUCCUAGGCUUGGAUUAUUUUGCAGUCCUUCCAUUUCUUUUCAAGAAUGGUUCUGUCACCAUCUUAGCAGAGAGAUGGCAGAUCUGGAAUUUUACUGUGGAAGUAAGAAUCGCAACAGCAACAUCAUUCUCUAAGUGGUAUUUCCGGCCACUGAGAGGCUUUCACUGUGGGAGAAGAUGGAUUUGGGAGGACAUCUAGGAUACUCUAAAGGUAUAUUGGAAGCAAGGCGGUAUUGUGCAGUGAGGGUUUAACCUGGACGGGAGGGGCACCAACACCACCUUGGCCGGGAGAGAGUAUUAAUUUUCCAAGUUUACCUCCAUAAUCGGUCCUUUUGGGGUCUUAGGCGCCCACCACUAAUACUGAUUUCGAGCAACCACAGCACAUCAUGUAGUAGCUGCAUCUUCAAACUCACAUAAACCACCAGGUGCAAAAAUGACCACUGCUAUGAAGAAAUAAAAAUAAUAAUUAUACAGAGUUAUAGGCUGUCCUAGAAAGUGCCUUCGGGCAGAUUUGGCCUUUUUGAACGCAGGCAGCUGUAACCAUGGCUGCUGGCCAUCUGACUCUCGACUUUCCCCCGGUACCUUUGAGAGCCACUGACAGCCUGAGUCAGAAGACGCCAGGACCCAGACAGAGCAGGCAUGGGCACGGCGCCUUAGUCAUUGGCCAAAGACACAUGGCUGCCUUUCAUCAUGUAGGAGGGAGACAGGAAAGAGCAGAAGCAACGGAAGGCAAGUGAAGGCGAGCUUCAGACACGACUAUUUGGUCGUAUCCCGGCAUCCGGCAAACGGAAUCUCACGGUCCCUCUCCUGGUUGUUGACCACAAGACGGUUUGUUGGCAGCGCGAGUCAGCAACAUCAUGGAACCUACACAAAAUAAGAAGCCAGCAUACGGAAUAAGCGCAGAGAGGAAAAGCGUGCCUUUCUUUGUAAUUGCUUUGUACCGUGAUAGUCUUACAAUAUCAGCUGGGAAGAAAGUUUUCUUUAGGUGGCACCAAAACAGAAUUUGACAUUCUUCUGCCAGCCCGUUUUGCACUAGACAUGAGUAGAUUUACUGAGAGAUGUAGACAUUCAUAAGAGCCUUUUAAAUGAUCAUGAAUAAUGUUUUUCAGUUAAAGCAUUAUUUCUCGUGAUGUUAAGCAAAAUAUCAGUUUUAUCACAACAUAAAGACAAAGAUAUAAAAAAUACCGUAUGGUGGGCUUCCCUGGUGACGCAGUGGUUAAGGAUCCGCCUGCCAAUGCAGGGGAAAACGGGUUCGAUCUCUGGUCCGGGAAGAUCGCACGUGCUGCAGAGCAACUAAGCCCGUGCGCCACAGCUACUGAGCCCACGUGCCUGCCUAGAGCCCGUGCUCCGCAACAAGAGAAGCUACGACGAUGAGAAGCCUGUGCACCUCAAUGAAGAGUAGCCCCCGCUUGCCGCAACUAGAGAAAGCCCGCGCACAGCAACGAAGACCCAACACAGCCAAAAAUUUUUUAAAAACCAAAUAAAUAAGUUUAAAAAAAAAAACCGUAAUGAUAUUUAAAUUAUAUCUCCAUAAAGCUAUUUUAAAAGUUCUAUGCUCGGGCUUCCCUGGUGGCGCAGUGGUUGAGAGUCCGCCUGCCGAUGCAGGGGACACGGGUUCGUGCCCCGGUCUGGGAGGAUCCACGUGCCGCGGAGCGGCUGGGCCCGUGAGCCAUGGCCGCUGAGCCUGCACGUCCGGAGCCUGUGCUCCGCAAUGGGAGAGGCCACGACAGUAAGAGGCCCACGUACCGAAGUACUAUGCUCAACUCUCUGAUAUAGAGAACAAACGAGUGGUUACCAGUGGGGAGAGGGAAGGGGGGAGGGGCAAGA